CGUCCUUGCCUAAGUCUUUCGCACCGUUUUGUGGCGACAACCAGUAGUAGGUGAGUUUUCACAUUGAAUGAAGACUUAAAUUUAAACAAGACACAUUUAAUUUAACAAAGAAAUAAAACUAUACUGAUAAAGGUUUCUUUUCCUAUGCAGGCAGGAUGGCCAGUCCCCCUCUGCUUUCUCAAUCACCUUUAACUAACAAUACUGCAAAAAUCUACUGGGCACUGAACUUCCCACGGGAUAAAUAAAGUAUUUAACUACCUCCCAAAUUGAGAACUACCAACGUUCGUUGAUGAGAAAACAUUGUUUGAGCCUCACACAAAACGGAUCCUGGUUUAUCUACUAAGGUAUGGGUAAG